UACGUAGGGUGCGAGCGUUAAUCGGAAUUACUGGGCGUAAAGCGUGCGCAGGCGGUUUUGUAAGCCGGAUGUGAAAUCCCCGGGCUUAACCUGGGAAUGGCAUUCGGGACUGCAAGGCUGGAGUGCGGCAGAGGAGACUGGAAUUCCUGGUGUAGCAGUGAAAUGCGUAGAUAUCAGGAGGAACACCGAUGGCGAAGGCAGGUCUCUGGGCUGACACUGACGCUCAUGCACGAAAGCGUGGGGAGCAA
rnacentral:rRNA from 1 species